rnacentral:rRNA from 1 species
GACGAACGCUGGCGGCGUGCUUAACACAUGCAAGUCGAACGAAGAGCGAUGGAAGCUUGCUUCUAUCAAUCUUAGUGGCGAACGGGUGAGUAACGCGUAAUCAACCUGCCCUUCAGAGGGGGACAACAGUUGGAAACGACUGCUAAUACCGCAUACGAUCUAAUCUCGGCAUCGAGGAUAGAUGAAAGGUGGCCUCUACAUGUAAGCUAUCACUGAAGGAGGGGAUUGCGUCUGAUUAGCUAGUUGGAGGGGUAACGGCCCACCAAGGCGAUGAUCAGUAGCCGGUCUGAGAGGAUGAACGGCCACAUUGGGACUGAGACACGGCCCAGACUCCUACGGGAGGCAGCAGUGGGGAAUCUUCCGCAAUGGACGAAAGUCUGACGGAGCAACGCCGCGUGAGUGAUGACGGCCUUCGGGUUGUAAAGCUCUGUUAAUCGGGACGAAAGGCCU